GACGAACGCUGGCGGCGUGCUUAACACAUGCAAGUCACGGGGGCCCGCAAGGGUAACCGGCGAACGGGUGCGUAACACGUGAGCAAUCUGCCGUACACUGGGGGAUAGCCGGCCCAACGGCCGGGUAAUACCGCAUACGUUCUUCGAGUGGCAUCACUUGAAGAAGAAACCUCCGGGGGUGUACGAGGAGCUCGGCGGCCUAUCAGGUAGUUGGUGGGGUCACGGCCUACCAAGCCAUUGACGGGUAGCUGGUCUGAGAGGAUGGCCAGCCACAUUGGGACUGAGAUACGGCCCAGACUCCUACGGGAGGCAGCAGUGGGGAAUAUUGCGCAAUGGCCGCAAGGCUGACGCAGCGACGCCGCGUGGGGGAUGAAGCAUUUCGGUGUGUAAACCCCUGUUGCUCGGGACGAACAACGAGUUUCGACUCGUCUGACGGUACCGGGUGAGGAAGCACCGGCUAACUCCGUGCCAGCAGCCGCGGUAAAAC
rnacentral:rRNA from 1 species